ensembl:lncRNA
UUAUUAUCUCUUGCUAUUUAGUUUCACUUUCUCUUUGCUAUUAAAACAGAUCACUUCAAACCACAACUGCAGUACAGUCAACAGAAAAGAAUCCCAGAGCUGCAGGAUCCAUGUUGGAACACAGAGUGGCACACAAGAUGAAAUACUACACAGUUGAGACUGGCAAUACUUUGGAUUCUCACAUUCAGUUUAUGAGACGACUCAACAACACCACAAGGUGUUUUACGGAAGUCAAGUCUCCAGAGGAGAGUGAUGUCAUCAUGGCUUUCUGUCCCAUCGUCUCUCGCGCCGGGACUGAUAUUGAUGCAGCACUGCAACAGAUUCCAAAGGGUAAAGAUGUCAUUCUGGUAGUGCUGCAUCACACCUUCAACCCAGACGACACUGUACCUUACAGCAGCAGACUAGUGACCAGAAGUGAUGUAAUACUCACAGUGGACUGUCUGUUCCAUGAGAGACUGGGAGGACUACUGGACUGUCCUCGCAAUGAUGCAGCAGUCAGAAAUAUUAGGCAGAAGUUUGACACAGUGGACUGUCUGUUCCAUGAGAGCCAGGGACUACUGGACUGUCCUCGCAAUGAUGCAGCAGUCAGAAAUAUUAGGCAGAAGUUUGACAUAGAUCCUAUGGCCAGAAAUUGUGACUGUCUAGCUUGGAUUCUAAACGCUGCCAUGGGGUUACUGUCUUUAUGCCGCAACUGCCCUUGUAUGGUGUUUUCUUACAUGAUGGGGCUCAUCUCAGGCAAAAAUCCAUGUCCCUUUGCAAGACCUCAUUCCAGAAAUGAAGACUAUUUACAUUUGGCCCAACUAUGAACAUGUGAUAAUAUAUAGUGUGACUCCUGUAAACGUGAUGAUCAAUUCCCUUAGAGAACAAAUGUUAUGGAUUACAUCUUUAAUUGCAUGUCAUUUAGGCCUACUUGAGAAAGUACAGAUAAUUUACAGUGGUAAUGUAUGGAAUUAGGCCUGGCUGUAUCAAUGUAACAAUAAUAUGGAAAUAAAAAAGAAACUGGAUUUGUGGAAGGGCACGAGUCUCAACAUCACUGGUUAUACCCUAGAGUAAAAACAAUGUAUAUAUUUCCUGAGUUUUCUUAUAUCUCUUAGAUAUAGGACAGACACUUCAAAACCUUAUUACUUAUGAUUUUUUUGUGAUUUUUUUGCCAUUUAUGCAUGUGUUAUUCAUUGCGUUUCUA